AAUGUAAUCAGAGGAGUCCUUACGAAGAGAGAGGCAGAGAGUCAGAGCUGGAGACCAGCAUGUGAGAACGGAAGCAGAAGCUGAAGUGCUGGGGGGCCACGAGCUGAGGAAUGCAAGGAGCUUGUAGAAGCUGGAAAAGGCUAGGAACGGAUUCUUCUCUAGAGUGUCCAGAAGGAACACAACUCUGCCAUCACCUUGUUUUAAGUCGAGUGAGACUGAUUUUGGCCUACUGACCUCCAAAACUGGGCUGGCCCCGUGGCCGAGUGGUUAAGUUCGCGUGCUCCGCUGCAAGCGGCCCAGUGUUUCGUUAGUUCGAAUCCUGGGCGCGGACAUGGCACUGCUCAUCGGACCACGCUGAGGCAGCGUCCCACAUGCCACAACUAGAAGAACCCACAACGAAGAAUACACAACUAUGUACCGGGGGGCUUUGGGGAGAAAAAGGAAAAAAUAAAAUCUUUAAAAAAAAAAAAAAAAA
rnacentral:lncRNA from 1 species